UACGUAGGCAGCGAGCGUUGUUCGGAGUUACUGGGCGUAAAGAGUUCGUAGGCGGUUUGUCGCGUCGUUUGUGAAAACCCGGGGCUCAACUUCGGGCUUGCAGGCGAUACGGGCAGACUUGAGUGUUUCAGGGGAGACUGGAAUUCCUGGUGUAGCGGUGGAAUGCGCAGAUAUCAGGAGGAACACCGGUGGCGAAGGCGGGUCUCUGGGCAGUAACUGACGCUGAGGAGCGAAAGCGUGGGGAGCGAACAGG
rnacentral:rRNA from 1 species